rnacentral:rRNA from 1 species
GAUGAACGCUGGCGGCGUGCCUAACGCAUGCAAGUCGAGCGAUUUACUUCGGUAAAGAGCGGCGGACGGGUGAGUAACGCGUGGGUAACCUGCCCUGUACACACGGAUAACAUACCGAAAGGUAUGCUAAUACGGGAUAAUAUGUUUUGAUCGCAUGGUCGAAAUAUCAAAGCUCCGGCGGUACAGGAUGGACCCGCGUCUGAUUAGCUAGUUGGUGAGGUAAUGGCUUACCAAGGCGACGAUCAGUAGCCGACAUGCGAGGGUUAUCGGCCACAUUGGAACUGGGACACGGUCCAAACUCCUACGGGAGGCAGCAGUGGGGAAUAUAGCACAAUGGGCGAAAGCCUGAUACAGCAACGCCGCGUGAGCGAUGAAGGCCUUCGGGUCGUAAAGCUCUGUCCUCAAGGAAGAUAAUGACGGUACUUGAGGAGGAAGCCCCGGCUAACUACGUGCCAGCCGCCGCCGUAA